ACCAAUUGAGUCUUGGGAGCACCAAUCCCUCCAAGCCAGUGGGAAAAGGCAGCAUCCCCUGGAGAAGAGAGCAAGGUGUUGGUUUCUUUUUCCUGGGCCCGCCUGUGUUGGAAAGCAGGACAGACAUCACAGCUUCAGGUCUGUGCUGAGAGCCGAGUGUGAUCAUCAAACUCGUGUGAGGCCUUCAGUCCAGAACUCAGAGCUACUGAGGUCGUCGGAGGACAGCAAAGGGAACGGAAAGCCUCCUCUCAGUCAUUCACAGUUGGUGACCUAAGGACUGAGGACAAGGAGUUCAGCUCAGAUCAGGAACUUGCUGAAAGAAGACCCCACCGGUAGCUCAUGCAGACUCAGUGAAACUUUGCAGGCACCAGUGCUGGAAUACCGCUCAGAAUGUUCCAGUACCUUAGACCAGCAUCAGGGAACCUUCCAGAGGGGAAGUCAAGCAGCUUGCCCACCCAUGAGAAGAGUUUGAAGAGUUUCAAGCAGGAGAAACAAAAUCUGUGAAGGUGACGAGAGUGACCAAACCUGCAGGCCAGACUUCAAGCUCUUUGAAAGAAAAAAAACACAUCUCAUCUUUAUGUUCCUCCUGGCACCUCUGAGAGACGUGGAGAGACUCAGGACGACUUGUGGACACUGCGAGUGAAGCUGGUGGGUCGUGGUUCAGGGCAGGCAUGGAUGCAGGUGCGUUUACCUUUGACUGGAGACGGAGCCGCCUUCUCUGGGAUGGCUGUCGGUUGGUCUCGUCCACCUCGUACAGGAGGGAGGUGAUCUCUCUGGGAUUACCACUCCCCACCUGACACCAGGCAGGCCAGCCUGCUUAGCCCCGAUAUCCCUGGGUGGCAGAUGCUUUGUCCCCAUUGCCUCAGCUCUGCCUGAGAACUGUUGCUACCCACCAUGCAUUGUGCUAAUCCUGGGAAUGACCUUGCGGGGCGGGCAGGAAACAAGCAAGAAAUCAGUAUUGUUGCAGAGCUGUCCAUCAGUGUCCUGGCUAAGUACGGCUGGCUUAGGGACCACCUUCGGCGUGAACUUGGAGCUCUUAAGGGCAAGGUCUGAAGCAUCUCCAUAUUCACAGUGCCUGCUUGGCACCUAGUAGGUAUUCGUCUGGCAUGGAGUACGUGAAUUGUGUCUAUGGUUAGCAGCAACCGAGAAGUUCGUGGAGGCAAUGAGAACAGAUGCUAAUGGCUGUAGUGAAUGUCCACCUGGGCCACUCCCAUCCCCAGUGAGAGUGCAUCAUCCCUUUGAUGUAUAGCAAAGUUCUGGGUCCCAAGCACAAAACACAGAAAGAGCUUCCUGCCUUUUGUUGUUGCAAAAUCUCUGCCUCCCCUGGGGAAAGAAAAAAGAGUGUGGGAGGGAACAUUCUGUGUAUACAUC